UACGUAGGGUGCAAGCGUUAUCCGGAUUCACUGGGUUUAAAGGGUGCGUAGGAGGGCAGGUAAGUCAGUGGUGAAAUCUUCGAGCUUAACUCGGAAACUGCCGUUGAUACUAUCUGUCUUGAAUACCGUGGAGAUGAGCGGAAUAUGUCAUGUAGCGGUGAAAUGCUUAGAUAUGACAUAGAACACCAAUUGCGAAGGCAGCUCGUUACACGAAUAUUGACUCUGAGGCACGAAAGCGUGGGGAUCAAACAGG
rnacentral:rRNA from 1 species